rnacentral:lncRNA from 1 species
AUGAGGAUGGAGCAGGGACAUCAACAAUCACAAAGAGAGGGGCUUUCCCUUGGAAGUGACAAGUUACUAGAUAGAUGGAAGCUUCCCAGUGGCACUGGAAAACAGACUCUAAAGUUUUUUGAUGAAACAGAACACUGGCCUUUCCUCUUCAUUUUGGAGGACUGUUUCAUGGCUCUAAUACAAUGGCUUCAUUUGGACUUUCACUGAGUCCUCAUAAUUCUUGAUACCUUAUCAUAUAAAUAUAUUUUUUCAUUUUUAGAAAAAAUAUAGAUAUGUUGCCUUCUAAGUUUUGCUUGCAGUUCAAUGGGCAGUUAUUUGUAGGCACCAAACAACUGAAUUAAGAUGGAAGUGUUCAAUACUCAUUGGGUUUUAAAGAUCUGGUAUACAGAAAGAAUUGAAUAUGUCACUGCUGAUUUUAUACUGUUUAUACUGUUUUAUACUGUAAUAAUUUGGAUAUAUCAGAG